AUGUAUAGUGCAAACCGAUCAAAUUUUAGAAUUAUAACUAAGAUCAAAAGAAGCUCAAGAGAUUCAAAUCAAAUUCGCAAACUGUUCAAAGUCAAAAAUAUGCACUAGUACAAAAGUGACAUUAGGUAACCCCAAACGGUAACACUUUCAAUGUUAUAAAGUUAUUCGAUAUAUAAGUAACACCCGUGUAACACUUUAGGUUUACGUAAUACUUGGUUGUAACACUUUUAUAUUAGGUAGCACAUAGUUGUAACACUUUGAUUGUAUAUCAUUGGUUAAAAAAAAAAAUUUAAAAAAAACGUUCUUACUUCAAUACUUCAUAUGACUCUCCCUCCUUUACUCUUUCCCAACUCCCUAUCUUAAAAAAUCAAUUUAUCACUCACCAAACCACCGUCAACCCCACCCCCACGCCUACGGCCACCCAUUAGCCAACGAAAUUCUCAUCGGCCACCCCAUGUCUCCACCAACUGGCCAACCAAGGCGGUUCCCCAUGAGCACACGAGUCUUAGCCAUGCCUUUUACUUCUGUAGUACAUAUUAUACGUUUCGCUUUCAUCUGCCUUCUUCCUUUAACAUGAUCUACAUCUUCCCUAUCAAAUUAACCACUACGAUCGUCCAUUUGGUGGUUAAAACUACUUAUGUGGUAAGAUUGGUAAGAUUAUCUUUCUUUUUUGUUAUUAAUCGUUGAACAUCAAUUUAAAAAUUUAGGGUUUAUCGAAAUUUGCUUGUGAGUAUAAUCAAUUUGGGAUUAUUCUAAGAUAGACUAUUAAACUAUUGGAUAUAAUCUCUGAACUCAUGACAAAUUACAAUGAGCGAUUGUUUUUUUUUUUUUGCCAAAAUAAUAUGUUAAUAUUGAUUGAUUGUUUCACCCACCCUUUAAUUUUCUACUAUACUUCCAAUUUACUUUUCAAAAUUCCCCGAUUUCAUGCUUUGACGCCCUUUAAUUCAAUUUAGAUUUUGUUAUUUGGGCGUAUCGUCAAUGCCCCACUCAUUAAUUGAUGAACCAAUUGCUUUAUCUAAUCGUAUUUGGUUUAUUUAAUUUGAUUCGUUAAGUGGGGUUUAUUUGGUCUUUGAGGUACCCAAUUUUAUUUUAAGUUAAAUUUUAGUUUAACAUUGAUCAGAUUUUUUUUGGGUAUGAAAAAUUUGGAUCUGGGUGAGAAGCUUAUCUAUAUAUUGACUGAAUUAAGGAGUAAGGAGUUGAUUGUGUGUGUAAAGCUUAGCAAUUUCUCAACUGAAUUGUUGGUUUGAGCACUUCACUGUACGUAUCUUUUGAACUUUAAGAUUAAAUUUCCUGUGGCAGGAUACUCAGUGUAAAUGAGACAUUUUGAUUGCCAUCUAAUUUUGAAUUAAUUGCUUCUUAUGUGAUUUGGUAAGCUAAACUAGGAAGGAAUAUUCCAAUAUGAACGCAAUCAAAGUUUUGAAGCUUAAUCAAUUGAGUGGGAGUUCAAUAAUGUCUAAUCAGCUGCUAAAGACUCGAAAGCCUUACACAAUAACCAAGCAACGUGAGCAAUGGAUAGAAGAAGAGAACAAUAAGAUUCUCGAGGCCUUGAAACUCUAUAGCCGAGCUUAGUAGUGGAUUGAAGAUCAAAUGGAUCAAGAUGAAGAAUUGGGAUAACAAGUGAUGAUGCUAUAAGAGGCACUUACUGUAACUGUUGCUUUGCUGCUACUACCGUUGUUUUGCUGCUGCUACUGCUGUUUUGUUGCAGCUACAUACGGCUGUUUUUUACUGCUACUACUGUCUGUUGCUGACUUCUGCUACUGCUGGUUGCUGCCACUGCUAGUGCUGUUUGCUGCUGACUUCUGUUAUUGCUGGUUGUUGCCACUACUAGUAUUGUCUGCUGCGGUUGUUUGCUGCCACUGCUGUUUGCUGCUACAUACUGCUACUGGCAGCUUCUGUUACUACUAUUGUCGUUUUGCUAGCUAGGUGUUGUUAUUAAUGUUGUUUAUGUCGUUGACUGGUUUUUGAAAUUCAGAAGUUUAUCUUAUUUCCUCACUUUUUCUAA